GAUGAACGCUGGCGGUGUGCCUAAUACAUGCAAGUCGAGCGAACAGACGAGGAGCUUACUCCUCUGACGUUAGCGGCGGACGGGUGAGUAACACGUGGAUAACCUACCUAUAAGACUGGGAUAACUUCGGGAAACCGGAGCUAAUACCGGAUAACAUGUUGAACCGUAUGGUUCAACAGUGAAAGACGGUCUUGCUGGCACUUAUAGAUGGAUCCGGGUCGCAUUGGCUAGUUGGUAAGGUAACGGCUUACCAAGGGAACGAUGCGUAGCCGAGCUGAUGGGGUGGUCGCCCACCCUGGAGCUGGGACGCCGUCCAGACUCCUACGGGACGCAGCAGUAGGCAAUCUUCCGCAAUGGUCGGAAGCCUUACGGAGCAACGCCGCGUGAGUUAAGAAGGUCCUCGGAUCGUAAAGCUCUGUUAUUAGUGAAGAACAAAUUUGUAAUUAACUAUGCACGUCUUGACGGUACCGAAUCAGAAAGCCACGGCUAACUACGUG
rnacentral:rRNA from 1 species